rnacentral:rRNA from 1 species
UACGUAGGGUGCAAGCGUUGUCCGGAAUUAUUGGGCGUAAAGAGCUCGUAGGCGGUUCGUCGCGUCGGCUGUGAAAACCCGAGGCUCAACCUCGGGCCUGCAGUCGAUACGGGCGGACUGGAGUUCGGCAGGGGAGACUGGAAUUCCUGGUGUAGCGGUGGAAUGCGCAGAUAUCAGGAGGAACACCGAUGGCGAAGGCAGUUCUCUGGGCCGUAACUGACGCUGGAGGAGCGAAAGCGUGGGGAGCGAACAGG